GAUGAACGCUGGCGGCGUGCCUAAUACAUGCAAGUCGAGCGGUAAGGCCACUUCGGUGGUACACGAGCGGCGGACGGCUGAGUAACGCGUAGGAACAUACCCCAAACUGAGGGAUAACUGCUCGAAAGAGUAGCUAAUACCGCAUGUGAUCUUCGGAUUAAAGCUUCGGCGGUUUGGGAAUGGCCUGCGUAUGAUUAGCUUGUUGGUGAGGUAAUGGCUCACCAAGGCGACGAUCAUUAGCUGGUCUGAGAGGAUGAUCAGCCAGACUGGGACUGAGACACGGCCCAGACUCCUACGGGAGGCAGCAGUAGGGAAUUUUCCACAAUGGGCGAAAGCCUGAUGGAGCAACGCCGCGUGCAGGAUGAAGGCCUUCGGGUUGUAAACUGCUUUUAUAAGUGAAGAUUAUGACGGUAACUUAUGAAUAAGGAUCGGCUAACUCCGUGCCAGCCGCCGCAGUAAAAC
rnacentral:rRNA from 1 species